rnacentral:hammerhead_ribozyme from 1 species
AUCCAGCUGACGAGUCCUAAAUAGGACGAAACGCACGUCAAACUGGAU